UACGAAGGGGGCUAGCGUUGCUCGGAAUUACUGGGCGUAAAGCGCGCGUAGGCGGAUCGUUAAGUCGGGGGUGAAAUCCUGGAGCUCAACUCCAGAACUGCCUUCGAUACUGGCGAUCUUGAGUCCGGGAGAGGUGAGUGGAACUGCGAGUGUAGAGGUGAAAUUCGUAGAUAUUCGCAAGAACACCAGUGGCGAAGGCGGCUCACUGGCCCGGUACUGACGCUGAGGUGCGAAAGCGUGGGGAGCAAACAGG
rnacentral:rRNA from 1 species